UACGAGUGCCCCGAGCGUUAUCCGGAAUCAUUGGGCGUAAAGGAUGUGUAGGCGGUCUUGUUAGUCUUUUGUUAAGGCUCCCGGCUUAACCGGGAAAAUGCAAAGGAAACGGCAAGACUUGAGGGUGCGAGGUGUCUAUGGAACUCAUGGUGUAGGGGUGAAAUCUGUUGAUAUCAUGGGGAACACCAAAAGCGAAGGCAAUAGACUGGAGCAUUCCUGACGCUGAAACAUGAAAGCGUGGGUAGCGAAUGGG
rnacentral:rRNA from 1 species